GUCUCAGCAAGUAUCUGAAGGAAGUGAGUGAGGCAUAGAAAUAUCCAAGAGCUCCCCAGCCAAAAAGACCAGCAAUUUGCAAAGGCCAUGUAAGUCAUGUUUGCUAUGUUCGAGGAACAGCCAGGAAGCCAAUGCCUAUGAAGCCUGGUAGCAAAAUACUUCCAUACAAAUCCAAUCAUAUUUUUUAAAAAGUACAGAAGAUAAAACUCUAAGGAAAAAAAAAAACGAAAGAGGAAUUACAUCAUCACGACUCAUCUGUUAGUCUGAAUGAGCAUAUUUUUGAACAACUUAGAAAGGUGUGCUACAAAAUGAGACUUCUGGAGAGAACCACCUUGUUCCUGCCCAGAAGAUGAUGUUCUCUCUUCACCAACAGUUGCUCCUGAUUCGACUGUUGGUGCUUUACUC